rnacentral:rRNA from 1 species
UACGGGGGGGUGCGAGCGUUGUCCGGAAUCACUGGGCGUAAAGGGCGCGUAGGUGGUUUGAUAAGGGUGCGGUGAAAGCCCGGGGCUCAACCCCGGGUCUGCCGUGCCGACUGUCAAACUCGAGGGCUGUAGAGGCAGACGGAAUUCCGGGUGUAGCGGUGGAAUGCGUAGAGAUCCGGAGGAAGACCGGUGGCGAAGGCGGUCUGCUGGGCAGUUUCUGACACUGAUGCGCGACAGCGUGGGGAGCAAACAGG